UCGAUCUCCUGACCUAAUGAUCCGCCCGCCUCAGCCUCCCAAAGUGCUGGGAUUACAGAUGUAAGGCACUGCACUCGGCCAUGAUGGAUAAUUUUAUGUCAACUUGACUGAGUUAAGGGAUAUCCAGAUAGCUGGUAAAGCAUUACUCUGGGUGUGUGUGUGAGGGUGUUUCUGGAAGAGAUUGGCCUUUCAAUCAGUAGACUCAAUAAAGGAGAUACACCCUCAUCAAUGUGGGCUGACAUCCAAUCAGUUGAGGGACUGACUAGAACAAAAAGACAGAGGAAGGGCUAAUUUGCUGUCUUCUAGAGCUGAGACUUCACCUUCUCCUGCCCUAGGACAUCAGAGCUCCUGGUUCUCAGGCCUUCAGACUCUGGGACUUACAGUGGCCCCCAGGUUCUCAAGCCUUCAGCCUUGGACUGACAGUUACGUCAUUGGUUCCUCUGGUUCUCCAGCCUGAGGACUUGGACUGCAUCACACCAUCAUCUCUCAUGGGUCCAGCUUGCACAUAGCCUAUCAUGGAACUUCUCAGCGUUCAUAAUUGGGUCUGUAUCCAUCUGGAGUUUUUUGCAUAUGGUGUGAGAUCAGAUUAGAAGCUGCAAGUGUUGGUUGACGUUGCUGACUGGGACCACACUGCAUCUAAAGAUUGUUUCGGGGAGAACUGACAUCUUUAUAAUAUUAAGUCCUCCAAUCCAGGAAGCCACAAGCCAUGUGAAGUCUUUUUUAUACCUAAUGCUAGCUCCUCAGAGCUAAUCUACUUUUGAUAUGUGAGUGCCAAGGCUACUUAAAUUUGGCACUACCUUUUCCCCAAGUAUUCCAAAUCCUACAAGUACAGUCUAUUUUCCUCUCAACUCCUAAGAUGGCAGCCCUAAAACAGAAUGCUACAUCGUAGUUCCAUGGUCCAGAAUUGUGCUUGAUCCAAGAACUCAGGAGGAGACCCAAAUGAUUUCUGGCUUUGAGGAUAUGAAAAAUAUCCUUCAGGUAAUUGAGAACAAACAUAAUCUUACACUCAAAAUCACAAACACACACAUAAAAGGCUUUCAAGUGAUGAAAUCCCCAGAUCAUAAUCUAGAAACAGUAUUUUAAAAAUAAUUCCUACUUGAGAAUUGAGACAGAGAGAGAAGUUAGCAUAGAAU